CACGUAGGCGCGAGCGUUGUCCGGAAUUAUUGGGCGUAAAGAGCUCGUAGGCGGCCUGUUGCGUCCGCUGUGAAAGCCCGGGGCUUAACCCCGGGUCGGCAGUGGAUACGGGCAGGCUAGAGGUAGGUAGGGGAGAAUGGAAUUCUCGGUGUAGCGGUGAAAUGCGCAGAUAUCGGGAGGAACACCGGUGGCGAAGGCGGUUCUCUGGGCAUUACCUGACGCUGAGACGCGAAAGCGUGGGGAGCAAACAGG
rnacentral:rRNA from 1 species